rnacentral:rRNA from 1 species
UACAGAGGUCCCAAGCGUUGUUCGGAUUCAUUUGGGCGUAAAGGGUGUGUAGGUGGCGCCGUUAGUCGGGUGUGAAAUUUCGGGAGCUUAACUCCGAAACUGCAUUCGAUACUGCGGUGCUUGAGGACUGGAGAGGAGACUGGAAUUCAUGGUGUAGCAGUGAAAUGCGUAGAGAUCAUGAGGAAGACCAGUGGCGAAGGCGGGUCUCUGGACAGUUCCUGACGCUGAGGCACGAAGGUCCAGGGGAGCAAACGGG